rnacentral:rRNA from 1 species
AGAGUUUGAUUAUGGCUCAGAACGAACGCUUGCUGCAUGCUUAAUACAUGCAAGUCGAACGAAGGCCCUAGCUUGCUAGGUGUCCUUAGUGGCGCACGGGUGAGUAACACGUGGGAACUUACCUCAGAGUACGGAAUAACUAUGGGAAACUAUAGCUAAUACCGUAUAUUCCGGCAACGGGAAAGAUUUAUCGCUCUGAGAUAGGCCCGCGCAAGAUUAGCUUGUUGGUGAGGUAAUGGCUCACCAAGGCUCCGAUCUUUAGCUGGUUUGAGAGGAUGAUCAGCCACACUGGGACUGAGACACGGCCCAGACUCCUACGGGAGGCAGCAGUAGGGAAUAUUGGACAAUGGGGGAAACCCUGAUCCAGCAAUGCAGCGUGAGUGACGAAGGCCUUAGGGUUGUAAAACUCUUUCAUCUGUGAGGAUAAUGACAGUAGCAGAAGAAGAAGGACCGGCUAAUUCCGUGCCAGCAGCCGCGGUAAUACGGAAGGUCCUAGCGUUGUUCGGAAUUACUGGGCGUAAAGAGUAUGUAGGCGGAACAGAAAGUUAGAAGUGAAAUCCCUGGGCUCAACCUAGGAAUUGCUUUUAAAACUUCUGUUCUUGAAUUCAGGAGAGGAUAGUGGAAUUUCCAGUGUAGAGGUGAAAUUCGUAGAUAUUGGAAGGAACACCAGUGGCGAAGGCGGCUAUCUGGACUGACAUUGACGCUGAGAUACGAAGGCAUGGGUAGCAAACGGGAUUAGAUACCCCGGUAGUCCAUGCAGUAAACGAUGGAUGCUAGUCGUCGGACUUUUGUUCGGUGUCGUAGCUAACGCGUUAAGCAUCCCGCCUGGGGAGUACGGUCGCAAGAUUAAAACUCAAAUAAAUUGACGGGGACCCGCACAAGUAGUGGAGCAUGUGGUUUAAUUCGACGCAACGCGAAGAACCUUACCAGCGUUUGACAUGGAAAGUACCGGUUACAGAAUGGUAACCUUCAGUUCGGCUGGCUUUCACACAGGUGCUGCAUGGCUGUCGUCAGCUCGUGUCGUGAGAUGU